rnacentral:rRNA from 1 species
ACCAGACUCCUACGGGAGGCAGCAGUGAGGAAUAUUGGUCAAUGGGCGGGAGCCUGAACCAGCCAUGCCGCGUGAAGGCGAGUGCCCUACGGGCGUUAAACUUCUUUUGUGCGGGAGCAAUAAGGGCCACGCGUGGCCCGAUGAGAGUACCGCACGAAUAAGCAUCGGCUAACUCCGUGCCAGCAGCCGCGGUAAUACGGGGGAUGCGAGCGUUAUCCGGAUUUAUUGGGUUUAAAGGGUGCGUAGGCGGUUCUUUAGGUCAGUGGUAAAAUGGGGGGCCUCACCCCCUCCCCGCCAUUGAAACUGGCGUUCUUGAGUGGAAGAGAAGUAUGCGGAAUGCGUGGUGUAGCGGUGAAAUGCAUAGAUAUCACGCAGAACCCCGAUUGCGAAGGCAGCAUGCCGGCUUCCGACUGACGCUGAAGCACGAAAGCGUGGGGAUCGAACAGGAUUAGAUACCCCGGUACG